AGGAGAAUGAGGAGGAGGUGGAGAUGGAGGUGCCCUUUAUUUGCUCCCAUCUUUCAGAAAGAGGGGUGACUGACAUCAGCCUGAAGGUGCCCGCUCUCCGUGAGGCGUUCGCGACUCUGCUUGCCAGCAUCCACAACCAGAACUUCUUGUUCGUGGUGGGAAAAAAGAUCGUCAUGCGACUGGCAGCAGCUAACAACCAGGUGACU